rnacentral:rRNA from 1 species
AUUGAACGCUGGCGGCAUGCCUUACACAUGCAAGUCGAACGGUAACAGGUCUUCGGAUGCUGACGAGUGGCGAACGGGUGAGUAAUACAUCGGAACGUGCCCGAUCGUGGGGGAUAACGAGGCGAAAGCUUUGCUAAUACCGCAUACGAUCUACGGAUGAAAGCGGGGGAUCUUCGGACCUCGCGCGGACGGAGCGGCCGAUGGCAGAUUAGGUAGUUGGUGGGUUAAAAGCUUACCAAGCCGACGAUCUGUAGCUGGGCUGAGAGGAUGAUCAGCCACACUGGGACUGAGACACGGCCCAGACUCCUACGGGAGGCAGCAGUGGGGAAUUUUGGACAAUGGGCGAAAGCCUGAUCCAGCCAUGCCGCGUGCAGGAUGAAGGCCUUCGGGUUGUAAACUGCUUUUGUACGGAACGAAAAGCCUCUUUCUAAUAAAGAGGGGUCAUGACGGUACCGUAAGAAUAAGCACCGGCUAACUACGUG